CCCUUAGACGUUCUGGGCCGCACGCGCGCUACACUGACGAAGGCAACGAGCUUUCCUUUACCGAAAGGUACGGGUAAUCUUUUGAAACUUCGUCGUGCUGGGGAUAGAUCCUUGCAAUUAUUGAUCUUAAACGAGGAAUUCCUAGUAGGCGCAAGUCAUCAACUUGCGUUGAUUACGUCCCUGCCCUUUGUACACACCGCCCGUCGCUACUACCGAUUGAAUGGUUUAGUGAGGCCUUCGGAUCCGCGACUCGUUUUGUGGAGAAGUUGGACAAACUCAGUCAUUUAGAGGAAGUAAAAGUCGUAACA
rnacentral:rRNA from 1 species